rnacentral:lncRNA from 1 species
UUGGGAAUUUUUUGAAUGAUCCUAAAGAGUAGAACUUGAGAGCUUGCUCGUCGGACACCGCUUCGACCUGGCUCGGUGCUAGGGGAUAGUCACACGGUGGUAGGUAGGGCCAGGCAAGAUCAAGCAGAUGUGUGGCAGUGAUAGGGGUUAGUGGCGAUGAUAGGGCUCUGAGGAACAGCUGGCUAGGUACCGUUAAAGGCACGGGUAGGGUUGCUAGACGUCGCAUGCCGCACUCGGUUUUGACCCAAGGCCUUCAGCCUUACGGCGGGUGGAGGUGGCACGACAUCUUUCCUAAUAAGGUUGAGCUCUAAGAUCUUAGCAAAAUGGGCUCAUAUGAGGUGAAAUAUAGAGAAGAAAGACAUGGGUAGGCUUACAAUAUUAUUUGGGACUUUUGGUGAUUUUUGAAGAAUUUUUGGAAGUGGCUAAGGGCUUUAAGUAGAAAUUGGUGUACACUAGCGGGGUGCAUGUAGCAGUUCUAGGGGUGCUGACACAAGGUGGCGGGGUCCGUGGGUACUGUGCUGUGGACCGGGGGUUGUGGAAGCAUGGGUGGGUGUGUGGUCCACGUGCGCCGGGCGCACGGGGGAGUGAGUGGAGGAGGGGACGGCGGGGACUGACGACAUUGGUGGUUGGGCUGCCUGUCAGGUUUAAGAGAAGGGGAGGGAUGAUGGAGGGAGAUGGCGUACCAGCCUGGUGCCGGAGCCAUGCGGCGCUAUCGCGCUUGCCAUGAGCGCCGCUGCGGAGGCUCGCCGGAGCAUGCUGAUCCGGCACUUCCGGCCGCGCGCAGCUUGUGCACCUUUAGAAUAAGGAGCUCACUCAUGGUGUCAGGGAGGAGAAGGAAAGGAUCUCACUCAUGAAGGAGCAAG